rnacentral:rRNA from 1 species
UGAGUAACACGUGGGUAACCUGCCUGUAAGACUGGGAUAACUCCGGGAAACCGGGGCUAAUACCGGAUGGUUGUUUGAACCGCAUGGUUCAGACAUAAAAGGUGGCUUCGGCUACCACUUACAGAUGGACCCGCGGCGCAUUAGCUAGUUGGUGAGGUAACGGCUCACCAAGGCGACGAUGCGUAGCCGACCUGAGAGGGUGAUCGGCCACACUGGGACUGAGACACGGCCCAGACUCCUACGGGAGGCAGCAGUAGGGAAUCUUCCGCAAUGGACGAAAGUCUGACGGAGCAACGCCGCGUGAGUGAUGAAGGUUUUCGGAUCGUAAAGCUCUGUUGUUAGGGAAGAACAAGUGCCGUUCAAAUAGGGCGGCACCUUGACGGUACCUAACCAGAAAGCCACGGCUAACUACGUGCCAGCAGCCGCGGUAAUACGUAGGUGGCAAGCGUUGUCCGGAAUUAUUGGGCGUAAAGGGCUCGCAGGCGGUUUCUUAAGUCUGAUGUGAAAGCCCCCGGCUCAACCGGGGAGGGUCAUUGGAAACUGGGGAACUUGAGUGCAGAAGAGGAGAGUGGAAUUCCACGUGUAGCGGUGAAAUGCGUAGAGAUGUGGAGGAACACCAGUGGCGAAGGCGACUCUCUGGUCUGUAACUGACGCUGAGGAGCGAAAGCGUGGGGAGCGAACAGGAUUAGAUACCCUGGUAGUCCACGCCGUAAACGAUGAGUGCUAAGUGUUAGGGGGUUUCCGCCCCUUAGUGCUGCAGCUAACGCAUUAAGCACUCCGCCUGGGGAGUACGGUCGCAAGACUGAAACUCAAAGGAAUUGACGGGGGCCCGCACAAGCGGUGGAGCAUGUGGUUUAAUUCGAAGCAACGCGAAGAACCUUACCAGGUCUUGACAUCCUCUGACAAUCCUAGAGAUAGGACGUCCCCUUCGGGGGCAGAGUGACAGGUGGUGCAUGGUUGUCGUCAGCUCGUGUCGUGAGAUGUUGGGUUAAGUCCCGCAACGAGCGCAACCCUUGAUCUUAGUUGCCAGCAUUCAGUUGGGCACUCUAAGGUGACUGCCGGUGACAAACCGGAGGAAGGUGGGGAUGACGUCAAAUCAUCAUGCCCCUUAUGACCUGGGCUACACACGUGCUACAAUGGACAGAACAAAGGGCAGCGAAACCGCGAGGUUAAGCCAAUCCCACAAAUCUGUUCUCAG